rnacentral:rRNA from 1 species
AUGAAUGAUACUCAUGAUGAUGCUAGUACCUUGCUUGAUGAUGAUGUGCCACUAGGUGAAUUUCUUGAUGAACAAACUGCUAGAGUAAGACAACAUGAUAUUGUUGAAUCUGAUGAUGAACUUGAAACUGAAAAUCUUGAAACACCUACUAGAACUAGUCCUCCUAGAUAUGAAUCUCCAAAGGUACCGGAAGGUUAUACUAUGAGUGAGAAGGCAACUAGAGAUGUUCUUGCUUGUAAGGAUAAAGAUGAUCAAGAGAAAUUAUUAUGCAAGUAUAAAGAAAGAUCUCUGAACGCUAAAAUGAAAUGUGAUCCUGAGUUUGCUACUUCACCUAUUGUUAUUGAUCAUAAGGAUUAUGAAUUCUCUGUCGACCCAGAGUUAAUUACUUUGGUUGAAUCUGAUCCUUUCCAUGGUUAUGAAACUAAAACUGUUGUGGCACAUCUUACUAAGUUGAAUGAUAUAGAUACCCUUUUUGCUCAUGAUAAGAAGAUUUGCUAUUACUAUAUUCUCAAGUUAUUUCCGUUCUCAUUAAAGGGUGAUGCUAAAGCUUGGCACAAUACUAUUGCUCCUGGUUGUGUGCGUAGUCCCCAGGAUAUGAUUUAUUACCUCUUUGAAAAGUAUUUCCCUGCUCAUAAGAAACAAGCUGCCUUGUAG